ensembl:lncRNA
GAUGUAGUCCUCUUGAACACCUGGGAAAAUGCGGGAAACGCAACUGCUGUGUCCACCUGCAGAGGCCAACGGGCGUGAACCCUCUCUCUGGCUCUGUGGCGUGAAUACUGAUAUGAGGAAGAGGAUGAUCAGGACCGUUCACCCUGAGAGAAGCACUGCAGAACCAUGGCAUCUGAAAACAGCUGCGUGAAGCACCCAACACCAAUUAAGCAAAUGGGCAUUAAUUAAUCGCUAUGGGCAACAGGACACAGAAGGAGUGGAGCAGACUGGAUGGAUGGACUGCUGAGAGAGAAAAACACAAGCACACACACACACACACACACACACACACACACACACACACACACACACACACACACACACACACACACAAACAAAAUCGCAAAUGUAACCACUACACAAAUGCAAAGAUAGAUUUGAGCAAAACCUGCAUAAUGUACUUGCCUGAACGGAAGGCUAUUUAGGCACAC